rnacentral:rRNA from 1 species
UACGAGAGGCCCAAACGUUAUUCGGAUUUACUGGGCUUAAAGAGUUCGUAGGCGGCGCGGAAAGUAGGGUGUGAAAGCCCUCGGCUCAACCGAGGAAUUGCGCCCUAAACUGUCGCGCUCGAGGAACCUAGAGGUGAGCAGAACUGAUGGUGGAGCGGUGAAAUGCGUUGAUAUCAGCAGGAAUACCGGAGGCGAAGGCGGCUCACUGGGGGUUAUCUGACGCUGAGGAACGAAAGCCAGGGGAGCAAACGGG